rnacentral:lncRNA from 1 species
GUCGUCAUAGGUUAGUUUUGUAUUUGACUGGAUAAUUUCAGAAGUUUGACUUCCCCAGACGACUUACAUUUCAGUCGUCUGGCGAAAAUUAAAAUAAUAAUAUUUUUUUUUAAAGUAAACGACUUACAAUUAAGUAGUCAUAGGUUAGUUUUGCAAUUGAAAAAAAAAACUUCAAGAUUUAAUUAUACACAGACGACUUAUAAUUCAGUCGUCCACCAGACGACUUAAUUGUAAGUCGUCCAGGAUUUUUUUCCGAGAUUCUGGUCAAACCUCGUAAAUCCUGGACGACUUACAUUUCAGUCGUCUCGUGGACGACUGAAUUAUAAGUCGUCUGUAUAUAAUUAAAUCUUGAAGUUUUUUUUUUCAAUUGCAAAACUAACCUAUGACGACUUAACUGUAAGUCGUCUACUUUUAAAAAAAUAUUAUUAUUUUAAUUUUCACUAGACGACUGAAAUGUAAGUCGUCCAAAAAGUCAAACUUCUGAAAUAAUCCAGUCAAAUGCAAAACUAACCUCUGACGACUGAAAUGUAAGUCGUCUAGCUUUUUUGGAGUUUUUUUUUUAACCAAACAAUAGUAGACGACUUAACUUUCAGUCGUCCGAAAUAACAGAUUUCAAAGUCAAUUGCAAAAAUAACCUCUGCGUUGACCAGACGACAUAUAGUUUAGUCGUCUAGACAACUUAGAUUGAAGUCGUCCGCGUCUUCUCCACUAGUUUUUAAGUCUUCUACGUUAGUUUUUGAAUAACUUGUAUUUUUAAGAGUGAUAAGUAACUUCAAGAUAUGUAAAACUCAUAUUUACAAAAUAUGUUCUCUCCCUUAGUUUUACUAAAUUUGACUAAGUUUUUCAAUGCAAACUUAUAAAAAAUAUGAUAUGCUUUGACUAGUUACUAUUGUUUGUUUCCAUCUCUUACCAACAUUCUUGUUUAUUAAGAUGAGAAAAAGGACAUUGGAGUUUAUUAUUGCAUAUGAGAGAUCCAAAGAUAAGAAAAAGGCUACUGAAGUCUAUUAUUUCAUUGAUUUGUAAAUGUGUAAACACAUUGUUAGCACAUUUAAUACAUCUUGGAAAACAUUAUUACUGAUUUUACAAAAAAUUCACAACUAAAAGAGUAGACAUGCAAUUCACAAAACAGACCACAAACAAAACUAUUAUAGAUCAUUCCUCUACAAAGACAAGCUUGGAUUCCACUUGAGUAGACAAGACCAGACGACUUUUAAGAAGUCCAGACGACUUCUAAGAAGUCCAGACGACUUCCAGGAAGUUCAGACGACUUUGUCAAAAGACUUUAAGGAAGUCAGACGACUUCCAAACGACUUUACAGGAGGUCCAGACGACUUUUAGGAAGUCCAGACGACUUCCAGACGACUAACAAGUAAGCCGUCCCAGAAUUCUUCCAGAUCUGAAAAACCUGCAUAUUAUCCAGAUCUGAAAAACCUGCAUAUUCAAAAACGUUCAAAUGGCUUAAAAACAGAAAAAAUGAGUGGAAGAUUAGAUAAAUCUACCUUUACAGAACACACAAAAAUACAUAUCUAAAAAUAAUAGAUCUACCUUUAAAUUAGUGGAAGAUGAGUACCAUUUGAUUAAAAACCUGCAAAAGAGAUAGAUUAGUAAGAAAUACAUGAGACAAAACUGAAAAAUUCAUAUAAAGUUUGGUGUUUUCAAGUCAAAGAGAUUAGAGAGAGGUUGGAGAGUUUUAGAAUGAUGAACAUUACAUUUUUGUUGCAGCCAUUUGAGAGGAGGAGAGAGAAUGUGUAAAUUUUUCUUUAUAUAGGGAGACAAAAAAUCCAAUUAGGUUAAAUAUUUUUGACUCAGACGACUUCCUGGACGACUUACAUUUCAGUCGUCUGGUGAAGAAAUUAAAACAGACGACUUACAUGUAAGUCGUCCAGAAGAGUUUAAUAUUUUUAGCGGGAAAUUAAAUAUUUUUAGCGGGAAACUAAAAUAGAAGACUUUCCAGACGACUUACAAGUAAGUCGUCUGGUUUAAAUUAUUUAAGCGGGAAAAUAAUUUUUUUAAAAAAUUUUAGGCGGGAAUAUUUGGACGACUUACAUGUAAGUCGUCUGUUUUAAUUUCUUCACCAGACGACUGAAAUGUAAGUCGUCCGAGUAAAAUGAUCCGGUUAGGUUAAAACGUACAUUGGUAAAAUUAAAGGUUCGGUACGAUGUGGACGACUGAAAUAUACGUCGUCCGGGUAAAUUAUUCAACAGACGACUGAAAUAUAAGUCGUCCACACCCUAAACAUAACCCCUAAACUUAAUUAUCUAAUUAAACACUUCAUAAAACCAAAUCAAACUUGAAAAGUGCUUACUAUACACAGAAAUAAAAACAUAUAGGUGAAAACUAAUUUUUGAAAAAAACAUUUUAGUUUUCCAAAAUCUAACCCUAACAAUACAUACAAUACUACAACAUAUGUUUGCCAAACUCCUAAACCAAAGUAUUUCAUGAUUCACUACUUCCACUCAUCUAUCUUCAAAACAAAUCAAUUUUAUCAUAUCUUAAUUUAUAUCACUUAAAACUGUUUAUAAUUACUUGAUUUUUAUUUUUCACGCAUCAAAAUAUUUUCAGACGAUUUACUGGGGCUACAUUCGUAAAAAUGGCUUCUGUUUUUUUGUUUGGUCACAAGGGGCUGAGCUGUAAUUUCACUAGGCUUUUAGGUUAGUUUUGCAUUUGAUUCAAGUUUGGGUAUAGGGUUGGGAUUAAAAUCAAGUUGUGGGUUAGUUUUGGCAAAAACCCCAUAAAAUAAUGUAUAGGUUUGAGUACACUUAGCAGGAACCGCAAACCAAACUGAAAAAAUUGAAAACAAAAUUUAACUAAACUUCAUAAAUAACCGAGCAGAUUAUAAAUCUCUAAAACCGAAAAACUAAAACGAACUGAAAACCAAAUGGAUACCUAAAUUUAAAAAAUAUAAAUUAUACUUAAAAAUAUUAAUUAUAUUUAAUUUAUAAAUAACCAAAUAUCUUAAAAUACUAUUUACAAACCGAAUUACCCAAAAAAAAAACAAAUUACCUAAUCAGUUUUUAGUCAAAAGAUUAAAAAUUGUCCUGAUUGUCCGAUAUUUUUAUCCGAACUGUCCUAUAUUUAAAAUGGAAACCCCAAAUUAUCCGAUAUUUUUAUUUCUAAAUCCGUAAUUAUCCGAAAAACCAUAAUCAAACAAAAACUGAAUUUGACUCAUUUCUUUUUUUUUUGCAUAUUAGCCGGUUUCCAACUUUUCUUAGAAAGCAUGCAUUUUUUUUACUUAUUAAUUCAAAAUUAGUUUAAAACUACCAUUAUUUUUGUUUCAAAUCUUAACAAUUGAGGUUUUAUGUUUUAUCAUUUGUUUUUUUAUUCGAAAUAGAUUUAAAGAUGAUAUGUGUGAUUUAAUAGUAUCGAUAUUAUAUGCUAAAGAACAAUGUGUUUUCAUUAUUUAAAUGUAGUAAAUAUAUUAAUUGUCGAUUUUUCCAUUUAAAACAUUUUGUAAGAAUUUUGUCUAUUUAAAGCAUUACGCAUUUAAAUCAGUGUUUUUAAACUCAAACUGGACCCGCGGUUGAAUUGAUAACUUGGUGAUGCGAUAUUUAAUCUGGUUUGGAUUUUAAGAGAUAUCCAUUAUCUUAAAAUCCCAAAAACGCUAAAACUCGAAGUUUGAUCGAUAUCUAAUCUAAUUUGUUUUAAAUUGCUAUUGUUUAAAUUCAGAAGUUAAUUUCAAUGUGUGCAUUAUAUAUUAAAUACUUAUUAUUUUCAAUCUUGUUGCAUUUUAAUUAUAUGUCGUAAUCUGCAUAAAUUGGAAAAAUCUUAUAAUAUAUUUCUAUAAUUAUAGGAUGUUUUCUUUACAAAUUAUUUGAGAAAUUGUGUAAAGUGGUUUUCUCAUAAGUUGUCUAGUAAGAUAUUUGCUUAGAUAUCAAAAUAAAAAGUAUAUAUAUAUAUAUGUUUAUUUAUUUAAAUGUAUUUAUUAGAUAUCAGAAUAAAAUGUAUAUUCUCUUGACUGCAGAAUAUUUGAUAAUACAGUUUUUUGUGUAAUUUACUUAAAUGUUUUGAACUACACGUUUUCAAAAGUUAACCUGUUGGUUAAAUGGUUAGCUAUGACUCUCGCAACAAACCCAACCCUUAAGAUGAUGAUGGUUUAACAUUUGACAACAUAGUUAGGACUGUGUCUAUAUAAUAGUCAACAAAUUCAGAUUGUAGUAUUAUGGAGUCAACAUAUUUCGAGAUAAAAAACAUUCAAAACGUAAAUCUAUCGACGUCUCACAUAGUUUUGUUAUGAAGCUGAUGAAAGAAGUUGGAAGACAUAGUUUUGCAAACAUCAUUUGUUGCUAACGUAUAAACGUUGGUUUGAUUAAAUGUAAUAGGAUAAGGAUAUUCGUUUGUUCCUAUAAUUGAGUUAAAUUAUAUUUUGGUUAUUAUAAUAUGUUAAGUUGAAAAUAAAUAGGUCCAACAACCUUGUUUAAGUAGAUUUUUUAGGAGUGAUUCCCUUUUAAUAGUAUAGAUAUAUCAUUUAUUUUAUCAAAACAUUAUAAAUAUCACUCUAUUCGUAUGACACCUACGUAAGGUAGUUAUCUAAAGGUAUUCUAGCAGAUCCCAAAGUUUUUUGGCGGAAGCAGACUCCAUUGUCUCUCUGAAUAUCCAAUCAGGUAGAGACGGUUGCAUUAUCCGGAGCGCUUUCAUGUCUCCACCCACAAAAUAUCUCCAUGUUGCAAGAUAUUGAGCUUGAAUGGUCGCCUCUAACACUGGAAUAUUUGAUGGAUCUGGCGAUACUCCGUUUUCAAGGAUGUCCCAUAGCCCUCUUUCAACUCGGGACCAAAAGUCACAUUCUUCAUCAUCUUUGUCUUCUCUUCUUUUGUCAAAAUCUUCAAAUUUCCUCUUUCUUCGAUCGUAAGAGUUCCCUCUCGUAAUCCAAGCUUGCAUUUCUGUGUUUUGUCUGAAACAGUGGACUACUUCUCAUAUUGUGUCAUAUCUUUUGUAGUACCAUUGGCCUAAAUCAUCCACAUAUCCUCGUCCUAACUGUUUAAAAAAAAGGUUUAUAAAAAAAAAUUUAAUUUGUUUUCCAAAAAUGACUUAAAAAAAUUCAAAAAAUUUCGAAAAUAUUAAAAAAUUCGAAUUUGAAAAAAAAAUAAUUCAAAACUAUAAAAUUAUAUUUAUUUGUAUUUUUAAUUUAUUUUUAUGAUUUAUUUUCAUUUAUAUAUCUAUAAAAGUAAAGGGUAGAUGUUUUCUGUUUCUUUAAUAAAACAUCUUUUGAUCAUUUUUUUCUUAUGAAUUUUUUUUUGGUGACAAAAACUUAAAAUAGUAUUUUAAAAAAUUACCUUUACUUGUAAUGCAUUAAAUGCAUAUUUUUAUUAACAAAUACUACAUCUGCACUUUAUCUUGUUUUUCUAGAAACAACAAUUAUUACAAUUGAUUCAACUAAUAAAAAAUCAUGAAAUCAUAAACAUCAAUUACAUUUAGUUAAUACAUAGAAAUUUGAGAAUAUCAAUUAAACAAUUUUUUUCUUAAAACACCGUUUAAAUUAAAACAGAUGAAAUAUUUAAUUGUAUUAACUUUUAUUUUAAACAUUUAUUCUAUUAAAAAAAUGGUCUCACAUGGUAUAUUACAGUAGUAAAGGUUCCAUCAAAAUACAACCAAAUUUAUGGUUAUCAUAAUUAAUCGGUAAACAAUCGAGAAAAACACAACAAAUUCAGAUCCAAACGUGAAAACAAAAACACACCAAACAUUUAAACAAGCAUUAUUGUAGUUAUAUGAUAAAUAAAAUCUAAAUGAAGCACAAAAUACACUAAUACGUGAAAAUCAUACAAACUAAAUGAGCUGACAAGAGUUUUUCAUAUUAUCAAAUAAGGGGAAGCUUCGGUUGAACUAGAAUCUCGGGAAUACAGUCGUCGAUUUGUUCAUCAAAACUUUGUUCCAACUCGCAGAAAGUAAUAACGUCUUGUUGUGAGACAAAUAUCAAAAUUAUCUGUUGGAUGCGCAAUAUGUGACCAUCGGUAUUUCACAUGUGUAUUUUCAUCAACAAAAAAAUAUAUGUUAACAAAAUUAACAUUUAAUAACACACAAUACAACCAUAAUCGAAGAGAAAAGAAACAGUAAAUUAGCAUAUCCCGAUAAUUUUUUUAAAAAAUGGCUAACCUCUAAUUUGUGUCCAUCCGGUAAGAUUGGAAAAAGAAACCAAAUCAAACCAAUCAAAACCAAACCGACCUAAACUAAAUUGAUGUAUAUAUCUCAAUCGUUUAGUUAAUCUUUUUAUCAAUCCAAAAUCAAACUGAACUGAAGACUCAAAUUGUGUUUAAUUAGGCUAACUAUAUGCACAAAACUCGACCAUGAAAAUUAUAUGUACUAAUAACAAUAAAAUUAAGAUAAUUAAUCAUUCAACAUAAACAACUAGACAUAGUUUUAUAUUACUUUUUAUAUGAAUAGAAAAAACACAAACAACAAUGAAAACAUGUUUUACGACAAAAAGAAACAUAACUUUCUACAUUAAGGAAAUCUACGAUCAUUGUAUUAUGUUUGAAGAUAUGAUUCAAAAUUAUUGAAUUGCAUCUUUUAUAUUUUAACCGAAAUGAAACCAAAUUAGAAACCAAACCUAUUGAAUUGAACUAAACUCAAACCAAACCAAACUAAAACUGAUCCCAACACAAAACCAAACUAAUUUCAGUAAAAAGUUUCUUAGAACCGAAUUAACAAAACCAAAUCAAACCGAACCAACUUUUAACUGAAAUAUUCACCUUUACCAUCUGAUCGACAUCUAAUCUGGAUUGGACACAUAAAAAGUCCCGAUGUAGGUUUAGUGCCAACUUCAGAGGUUAGUGACAUAUGUCUGGAUUGUACACAUAAAUAGUUCCGAUGUAGGCUUAGUACCAACUUCAAAGAUUCGUGACAUAUGUUGGGUAUCAGAUGUCAACAAGAAGUCAAAGGACUUAAUUAGCACUAUCACCCAACAUAUGUCACUAACUUCUGAAGUUGACACUAAACCUACAUCGGGACUCUUUAUGUGUCCAAUCCAGACAUUUAUGAGCUUAUCAACAUGUCACCAAGACAUUUUCUAACUAGUACUAGUAUGAUGAGGAACUUUGUUGAUGCAAGAAUUGUGCUGAUGGACCGCAUAACAGUUUUUUUUUUUACUCAAAUUGAUUUUAGAUAAAUAAAGAGACAAAGCCCAUUAACCUUACAAAGGCCCACGGCCAACCGACACAAAGGCCCAAGGCCCAAUCCGAAAACCACAAAAACAUACAAAGCAAGAUGGGCUUGAGCCCAGUCCAAGCCCAUCAUCCCGCGGAAACCCUAGACACAGUCGGUCAUUUGCCCUUCCACCUCCAUGCAAACGGCGUCGCCGGAAUCUGAAAUGAGUGUCACCGGAGACGAGCGCACGGUCACAACAACAAAGGCGGUCCUCCACCGAGAUCUUCCAUCGGACAUACCGAAAUCUCAUCAAGACCACCAAUUGAAGCUGCACGUGACACCUUCGCCUCGGCCUGACCACCGCCGCAUCGCACCUUCGUCGGAGCAUCUCUCUCGACUCGCCGGAGCUCGUAAAGUACCGAGCCUCCCCUGGAACCACUGCGCUUUCUUCUCGCCACGGAGAGCUGCCUCGAACAAAUCGAGACCCUAACGAUCUGAGCUUUAACCGCAAUCACGGAAACCAAACACCACGGACCACCCCGAUCUACCAUCGGUACCAGACCGCAACCGUAGAAAUUAUUUAACCUCUUUACAAAGACACUACUUCACAUAGCUCCUCCUCACAUCUCACCGCCUCGUAAGGGCCAAGAUCCAUGUGAAAGGAGGUGUCUUACAAGCUCACGCGCCGUCGCCAAAUCGGAAACACCAGGGAUCUAAAAAGGGAAAAACAGAUCCGGUUUCUCCGCUAUCCUAAAAGCCGAGACUCUCCACACCACCACCGCCACGUAAGCCUCGCCGUCACUCCAGAUCUUGUCGAGAUUCGCCACCGUCCUCCUUGAAUCUAGGCUUCAGAUGAGUUUCCUUAAACCCAGAAUACACGAGCAUCUCGGCAGACGGACAUAACGAAGGUGUAGAGAGCAAAAUAAAAGGAGAUUAGAGGGAAGGAGGGUUCCUCCGGCGCCGGAUUAACCGGGCCGGAGUUAGGUCGCCGUGUUCCUUACUCGUUUGUUUCAAUAUUUGGUUGACCGCAUAACAGUUCUUGCAAGUCAUUUUGAAUAUGACGAUAAUGUAAAACAUUACUUUUUUUUCACGUUUUCAUUUCUCUUUUUCAUGUUGUCGGGUUUAUUCUCAAAUUUAUAUUUCAUGGCUAAGACAAACAAAAAAAAACACAUCCACAAAACAUUAGAUAGCAGUUGAACACAGUGAUCAACCAUAUGUGCUUUACUAUCAUUCCUGGUUUGUCAUCCAACGUUUCAAUAUCUCAUGAUCAAACAAGGAAACACAUGUGUGGGUUUCCAUUGCCAUAAGUCUUAGUCUCUGAACUGCAAUCAUCUUCGGGCCUAAAAGAGAGCACUUCAAGUCCGCCUAAGUUCAUAGAAAAAAAAUCAAUAUAACAUAGAUGUAAAAUCUGAGAUCCUCUAACUGAUAGUUGUUAAGAUUUAUACUAGAACUAUAAUUAGUCAAACAUGAAUCGUGAAAAAUCUGUUUUGACUAUUUGUAUAAAUAUUUAUAUAGUCAAACACAGGAGAUGGAAUCGUGUUAAUCCAUUUUCCGGUCUGUCUUCGACAAUUCGACGGGUUUACACCAAACCAGAGAUUUUUUUUUUUUUUUUUUAAACAAAACAAAAAAAAAACUUUUGGAUCUGUAAGACAAAAUCGAAAAAACUCUCAAGUUUCGUCUGGGAAGAAGAGAGAGAUGAAGAGGCCGGUCGGAGCCGAGAAGAAAAGGGUUAAACGAUCAUCGGGAUCUGCAUCCACCGCCGCUAGAGAUUCCGGUUCUGAUGCUCCACCAAGGGUUGGUUUGCUCCUCUCUUCUCUCGUUCUUUUGUUUCUUAGGCCUUUGUUUGAUCUGUUUCAGUCUCUCUGAUAGAGCGUAAACCUGUGAUUACACAAUUUACCAUAAAUUGUAUAUAUGUCUGUGUGUACACAUCAUUGUUAUGUUUUGUCUUCUCAGAACAUUUUACCUGUGGGAAUGUUAAUUUUGUUCACUUGCAUGUUGAAAGUUUGAGUCUUUAGCCUUUGUAAUGCGAAUUGAUCUUUCUUUUUUUUGUGGUGGUUGACUAGAAGAAAGGUGUGAAGAAGGAUUUGUUUCAGAUGUUUGCUGAGAAAGUUAGAGACCACAAGGGGUUGGAAUCAAGAUGGGCUGUUAUGGAGCAAGCCCGUGUAGAGUACUUCAGAGGCAAAGAUUUCGUCAACUUCAUUAAGAACAACCCCGAGUGUAAAGAGGUUCUAGAAGAAGAUAAAGACCUCGACACUGAAGAUAUCGCCAAUGUGUUGUUGGAGAAGAACCUUUUGGUUCGCUGUGAUCGUGUUACCAAAACCCUCCGUCCCGGGAAGAAAAAGCUCUCUACUUGGCCUGCUCAUCUUGAGAUUUUCCGUGUAAGCUGUUUUGCUGUUGGUUGUUGGUUCAUUUGCUAAGCUCAAAUGUUUUGAGGUUUUGAUUCUUUUUUUUACUCUUUUCUAAUGCAGGAAGAUCAAGCUUUCUCUGAGACUGAUGCCUUUUUUGCAUGGACGUUUGAGAAACGGCAUCCACUCUGGCAAACGCUUUUGUCCUUCUUCUGGCCUGUGUUGACUCUUGCAAUCUGUUUGUUUCCUGUCUACCCACACCGUUGCAAGCUCAUUGUUCUCUAGUCAUGUGCCGGCAUUCUUUUGAUGAUUCUCUCCUUGCUUUUCGGUAAGCUCUACAUUUAUAAUCUGUUGGAGUUUCCACCAUAGAGAGUCACUUUCUGAGUGUGUUGGCUGGCUCUUUAUUGGCUCUAAAACUAGUUCUUUUGUACUUUUGAGAAUUGGAAGAACAGUGAAUUACCACUAAGCACUGCUAGGCAAUAGUUUUAACUUGGCUUGUACUGAAACUAGUCUUUUGUUUAUUACGUUGAAUGGUGCAGUGAGAGCAGUUGCUUUCGGUGCUAUGUGGAUUCUUCUUGGAAAGCGUGUCUGGUUCUUCCCCAACAUUCUUGCGGAGGAAGCCACAUUGAAGGAACUGUUCCGUUUCUGGCCAAAGAAAGACGAGGAAGAACCGCCCAAGUGGACAUCUCGACUUUUCUACACAGUUGUGGCUGUUGUUGUUGUCAUGCUUCUCAGGCGCCAUGCCCCUGAUGAGGCUGCUCGAGCUAGGUAUACUAACUUAAAACCAGUACAUAACUAAUGGACUCUCUCCUCAGGAGAAGGUUGUUCUCUUUAAUUGAUAUGAGUUCUCCGGUUUGUUGACUUGUGAUGACCUUUUGUGCAUACAGGUACCAAAGAAGGAUGUCCAACAUCAUUGAUGAUGUCCUUGAGUGGUCCCCAAAGCUAGCACUCUCUGGUUUGAUGGAGAAUCAGCCACCGGUGAACAUCACAGAGGCCGCUAACAACUCCUCAGAUGCAGCAAGUCCCGACCAUACUGAAGAAGCUGACGUAGACGAAACACAAAGCGAGGAGGAAGCUGAAGACUGGACCAACUCUAAUAUAAAAACAUAAAAAUAUAUAUAGAGAAACGAAAUUUCAUUGUAACAAUAAGUCAGCCUGUGUGACCAAGACGAGGAUAGUUUUUUAUAAGGAAGUCUUGAAAGAUUUUGUGGUAUUCCAUUACUCUUAUCACUUUGGCACACUCUUGUAUUUAGUUAUUUAAUCACAUAGUUUUGGAUUCAAAGUCUUGGGAGGCAAACCUCUAUCACUUGCUAAGAAAUGUUUACUAAAGAGAGUAGCAAAAGAAAAGAGCACAAGUAGCAAAAAAAGCCAACAAAGAGAAAGCCAAGAAUGAGUUGCCUCUAGACAAUGUCACUUGAUUGCUAGACGAGCUUGAGAAGGAUGAUUUAAGGAAAUGAUGUUCCAUUGCUGACCUGAGCAGUCUGCUUCUUCCCUUCUCUUACAAGCUGUGCUCUGCAUCUCCUUGGAUUGUGUUCUAUUCUUAUCAUUCCAAGCUUCAGGCUGAUCAGAGCUAGAUGAUGUUGGGGACUGAGUACGACAAGCAUUUCUCUUCUCUAACUCUGCCUUGGCACGAGCCUGCCUUCGCCUCAGAAUCGCCUGGUACUGUUUAGCAUUCACGUAAACUGGUUCUUGUGUUAUCAUAAAAUUAUUGAAAUUUUAUCAGCUAGAUCAAAGAUUAUACAACUGUGUGGCUAACAAGUUGAGGUGUUGUAAUGCAAGGAUCCACAAGUUCUUGACUUUUUUCACUGUAAUCACCAGCUGCAUGUAGAAACACAGUAACAACACAACAGGUAAGCAAAUCAGCAAAGCUUAAGCGACGGGAGACGACAAGUCAUUCAAUGCACCUGAUUGGGGAGAGGUUGUGACUUGUGUCUCUUUGUUACCAUUUCCAUCUCUACUAGAUGGUGGUGGUCUGUCUCCAGCUUCUUCCACAAAAGAACUUGCACUAGUGUUCUGACUCCUACUGUCAGAUUUUGAAUUGCAUGUCUUCAGUUUCCUAUUCGGAAUCUAAUCGUUAGUGAUGAAACAUAUGAACUAACUUCUCUAACUGAAUCGAGUCAAAGGCACAACAAACACAGAACAACAACAACAACAAAACUCAAUAGGAUUCAGCAAUCUCGAAACCCAGAAACAUUGAGUGGUUAAAUUCACCAAAUCGGAUAGAAUUUCACAACUUUGAAACAAAAUGGGAGCUCAUGCAAAAUCAACCACGAAUUGAUAUGAAAAUCGAAACUUUUCAACAUACCAUUCAAUCAAAAGAGCGAAUAGACCGUCCCGGAGGCGAAGAGGAACGAUCUGAGUUGGUUUCAGUCAGAGGAAGAAGAAAAAAAAAAGCAAUUUUUAUGGACUUUUUUUUGUUUUUUGAUCGUUUUGAAACUUGGUUGCCACGUGUUCGCUACGUGAAAGGACUAGUGUGAGUCGUUUGGUCUGAGCCUAUAACGAGCUUCAAAAGCCCUGUAUUACAAGGUCCAUCCUCUUCACUUCAUGUUUAUCCCUAUCACCCUGAUUAAUAAAAGUAACCUAAGAACUUUAGGUAAGAAACUUCCAUUUUGAGUGGUCCAAUGAGAAUUUCUUAGCUAAGAGUUCUUAAAAAAAAUGAAACUUUGUGAAUACAAAGCUUGAAUGAGACUUUGAGAUCAUCUCCAAAGCUUGAACGUUACAAAAUGAAACUUUCUUCAAUCCAAAUGAGAAGUAUUACACACAUAAAAGUUAUCAAUAGAUAGGAUCUCUAAAACUUGAACAAACAAAUCAAACAAAAAGCUAGUCCAAAACUACCUAGUUGACUACUAAAAGGUAAUGCAAACAAGGAUCAUCUAUGUUGACAACCAAACAAUGACGAAAUCAAUCAACAACCAAACAUAACUAGUAAUCAAUCGACAACCAAACAAUGACAAAAUCUCAACAUCUAAGUCGGUAACGUAACCGAAGACAGCGUAACGACCGUCCAAGAUGUUGGAACUGCUUGGCGUCAGCUCACUCUCUUUCAGCAGCCAAAACACUUGGCUCGAUCCCGAGUCAUUCUCAAACUCAUGUUUUGCAUUACAUAUAAUUAGAACAUAUAUAUAUAUAUAUAUACAUACAUACAUAUAUAUAUAUAUAUUCAAUUGUGAAGAAAGAAAAUAAGAGAAAGAACUCUCACUUCUCUAGCCAUUGCCAUUGUCCCAAAUGAGUUGAAUGGAAGCAUCACCUAAGCCUUGAGACAUGGUUCUGAUUCGAACGCUCUCCACGAACACCACCGUGAAACUCGAAGCUUGAUGAGCUAGCGUUACUGUCAUAAUCAAGAUUUUCAUCUUCUUGUGGCCUCAGAGCCAUACUCAAUUCAGCCUUGAUCAGUUGCUGAGGUUUCUGUUGAUUGGUUUCUCUCGUAAGACCUUCAGACCGAUGUCUCGAGGCUUGAGUAUCGCUUAGGUCCAAAACCGACAGUGUGGCUACUCCUAUGUCAGUUGUUGAAGCCAACACUAACAAGAACAGAGCAAAAAGAGACAAGAUUUAGCUAAUAUCAGAGCAAAGACAACUCUAGCCAAGUUAAAUUCGAUUAAAAGGCUUCAAUUGUAACUUGGAGCAGAAGAUAAAGCACGAACAAAGCAAAAAGAGAAAAGCUUUAGUCAAGAACAGAGCAAAGACAGAGACUUUAGCCAAGAACAGAGUAGAGACAGAGACUUUAGCCAAGAAUAGAGUAAAUACAAAGACUUUAGCCAUGAACAGAGCAAAAAGAUAAGACUUUAGCCAAGAACAGAGUAAAUACAGAGAAUUUAGCAAUUCUAAGACAAACUGAGAUAGGGAAGACGAGAGACAAAACCAUUAUCAUCGUCGUAUGAAUCAGAUUUAGAAGCUAGCAAGCUGUUCUUGGAGAAUUCAGUGCCGUCCGGAGAGUUGAGAAGACUUUCCACGGAGAAGACAA